rnacentral:rRNA from 1 species
AAACUAACAAGGAUUCCCCUAGUAACGGCGAGUGAAGAGGGAAGAGCCCAAGAUUGAAAGCUGGCGUCUUCGGCGUCCGCAUUGUAAUCUCAAGAAGUGUUUUCCGCUUCGGACCAUGCCUAAGUCCCUUGGAAAAGGGCAUCAUAGAGGGUGAUAAUCCCGUACAUGGCAUGGAGCGCCCGAAGCUUUGUGAUACGCUUUCUAAGAGUCGAGUUGUUUGGGAAUGCAGCUCAAAAUGGGUGGUAAAUGCCAUCUAAGGCUAAAUAUUGGGGAGAGACCGAUAGCGAACAAGUACAGUGAUGGAAAGAUGAAAAGAACUUUGAAAAGAGAGUUAAACAGUACGUGAAAUUGCCAAAAGGGAAGGGUAGGAGGUCAGAGAUGCGGCCUGGGAUUCAGCCUUGCUUUUGCUUGGUGUUUUUCCCAGAUUGCAGGCCAACGUCGGUUUUGGGCACUGGAGAAGGGUAGGAGGAACGUGGCACCUCUCGGGGUGUGUUAUAGCCUCCUACUGGAUACAGCGACCGAGACCGAGGACAGCAGCGUACUCGCAAGAGCGGGCCUUCGGGCACCUUUACGCUUAGGGCGUUGGCAUAAUGGCCCUCUACCACCCGUCUUAAACCCCGGGAA